rnacentral:lncRNA from 10 species
AUCAUUGUGCCCAUCUUACAGAGAGGAAACUAAGGCACGGAAAGACAGAUUCUUGUGGCCCACGGAGAAAUCUGAGCUAGUUCCCUUUUCUUGCUAAUGAAGGGUCAUCACUGAGGAGACUGAAGGGGAAUUUUUCAAACCAGGGGAGAACAGGAGGAUGGCCUGUGCCUGUUUCCAGUCUUACCAUGAGCACAGCCAGUUGGUGUUUACACAUGAAACGGAACUAACUGAUCUCCUAUGCAUGUACAUCAGAGGGAAGUACCUGUUUUCCUUUGAAUUCAAUAGGCAGCUAAUGAGUUUUCCAUUCCUUCUGAUCUCAACCUGCUGUCACGUCCACUAGUGGGUGAUCUUCUUUCUGUUGCAAAAGAAGACUUUCUGAACUCCUAUGUGGGUGGUCAUUUAUGAAGGUUGAUUGGUGUUUGAAAAUAAUUUAGAACUCUGUAUGUUCAUAUGUGUAUGUGUGUAUGUGUAAAAAUAAAACUUGAUUGGCAUGACAUCAUGGGUGCUGGGAGUGGGUCUGGUAACCAGAAUAAAAAGUGGUCUUCUCUGUCCCUUGUCUAGCCACAAUUAGGAGAGAGUAUGGAUUGUCAGGAAAUGGAGCUUGUUCCACCCUCUCACUGUGGCUUAAGAAUUUUCUUCUCAACAAUGAAAAGAUGCACAGAUCAUAGUACAGGAGAUAAUAAGAGUCACUCUUGCUAUCUUCAGCAGAUCAUAGUUGUACACCAUUCUAUAAAAAUAUGAGAGAGAGAGAGAGAGAGAGAGAGAGAGAGAGAGAGAGAAAGAUCUUUGUAGGAAUAAACAUAGAAAGCCAUUUUAUCUACAAAGCCAAUUCAACCUGGACUGCAGUACUUACAAUCAUAAAGUUCUAGUUAGGUUAUUAGUUAGUGGUUGACAACCAUAAAGUACCAGUUAGGUUAUUAGUUAGUGAUUGGAGGGAUGCAAAAGCUGACUUGAAUACAUGACUUCAAUCACUUGGACACAUGUUUAAUUUCCUGUAAGAAAGCUGCAGAAAAUCAAUGACCUAAAUAUCUGAACUUGGGUAUUUCCAAGGAAACCACCAGACUUCCCCAUUGUCUUAGAUUAAAUACAAUUAAUAAAAUGCCUAACAGACCCCAGAGUUCUUCUGUGUAAUUAGAUCAAUAGCAGUACAACAUCUGAGAUUUACUUCUCUCUCCAACAAGACCCUUUAGGCUUGGUAACACAUCCAAGUGGAAGAGGAAAGAAAGAAAGAAAAACCCAAAACCAAAAGCACAAAUAAAACUACCGCUGAAAUUAAGAAGUUAGGAUCUUCCCAAAGGCAAGCAACUAAACUCAUUCUACCAGUGAGACUGAGUGGAACCCUCUGCUCAGCCAUUCCUCAGCAUUGGACAUGGCUUAUUCUUGAUGUUUGUAUAAAAUAUGGGUUGGUCCACAGGAAAGACAUUCAUUUUAAAAAUAAGAUAAAAAAUAUGAGUUAGCAUCAAUAAAAUUCUACGUUUUAAGAAAUGCAGGUUGGUAUUAUCAGCCCUGAUUUGCAGAUAGAAAAACUGGCUGUGAGAUCAUCAGCAAUCCUGACGUCUAGAAGAUUUCAAGGCCGGGACUCAAACCUACGACUCUAUAGUGUAGAGCUUAUGCUGUCUCCUUAAAUAGUCAUGGCUUCGCUAGGC